AUACGAAUGGUGCAAGCGUUGUUCGGAAUCACUGGGCAUAAAGAGCACGUAGACGGUGGUGUAAGUCAGAUGUGAAAUCCCUCGGCUCAACCGAGGAACUGCAUCUGAAACUGCACCGCUAGAGUGCGGGAGGGGAGAGCGGAAUUCCAGGUGGAGCGGUGAAAUGCUUAGAUAUCUGGAGGAACGCCGGAGGCGAAAGCGGCUCUCUGGCCCGCCACUGACGCUGAGGUGCGAAAGCUAGGGGAGCAAACAGGAUUAGAUACCCCGGUAGUCC
rnacentral:rRNA from 1 species